rnacentral:rRNA from 1 species
AUUGAACGCUGGCGGCAUGCCUUACACAUGCAAGUCGAACGGCAGCACGGGAGCAAUCCUGGUGGCGAGUGGCGAACGGGUGAGUAAUACAUCGGAACGUGCCCAGUUGUGGGGGAUAGCCCGGCGAAAGCCGGAUUAAUACCGCAUACGACCUACGGGUGAAAGCGGGGAUCGCAAGACCUCGCGCAAUUGGAGCGGCC